UCGAGUUCUAGAAAUCCAAAUACACCGAUUCUUCCUAAGCUAUUUCCAUUACAGGUUGCGCCUUCAAAUAAGCCUCCAUCAGAGCUCAAGUUCCAUCUUGAAAAUAUCAUCUCAUCCUCCUGGGUGCUGAAUAUAUCUAAUUUGUCAGCCGUGAACGUAAAGUAAUCCUCGUAAGCUUUUGAAACAUUAAGAAAACUAUAGACAAGUCCUGACAUCCAGUCAAGAUUUCGAAACUGCCAUUACUCCUCAAUGAUCCUCUAGUCCAAAAAAGCUCGCCUCGCAGCUCAAUAACCAGUUGCUGUCCAUUGGGCUCCCACUCAAACGUAAAAGCACCCGAAGC
rnacentral:lncRNA from 1 species